rnacentral:sRNA from 1 species
AAACUUAUUUUCCUAAAUUUACGCAAUACUCGUUUGAUUGUUAUUUUAUUUAAUUUAAUAAAAGCUUAAGUUGUUGUAAUUUUUUUUUACUUUGAAUAUCUAUUUAACUUGAAUUUUACUUAACUAUUUUGUUCUCUCACUUCCACUCUCUCAAUUAUUUUGCAAUUCUUCUUACUUCUCUCUAAAAUUUCUGAAAACAGGUAAGUUUUUUUUUUAUAUGUUUAUGUUAGAUUUUGGGGUAUGGAAUGUAUCUCUUAGCUUAAGUGGUUCUGACGAGGUGUGUCCUGUUGUAUUUUGAACAUGAAGAUUUUGUACAUGUUACGUUGGUUAUUUAUAGAUGUCCGAUAACAUAUUGCGAGGGAUUUGCGAGGAACUUGCGAGGAACAGCGCUAUUUUGCUACGAAUUUGCGAGAGAAGUUCAACUACCAACCAAAGCAGGAAUAUUAUUUAAAACGUGCUGACCUAACCUGCCAAGGACUCGCAACUCCGACGCAAAAUUUGCCGCAGAAAGUUUGUACGCCGCAAGUUUACCGCAGUUUGCAAGACUCUUAUCGUACAUCAAAUCCCUCGCAAUUUACGAUGACUUUGCGAUGAAUUCUUCCGUCGUUGCAAUUUUCUCGCAGUUGCCACGCAAUAUUGCGUGGGAAUUCUCCCUCGCAAAUUUUGCGACUGAUUAACGACGUAUUGGUUUUCCCGCGCAAAGUGCUCGCAAGUCUAUAGCAAUUUGCGAGGGAUUUACGCCAUCUCAAAUUUCCCUCGCAAAUUGCAUGUUUUCUUGUAGAUUGAGAGAGAUUUCAAAGAGAUAGAAGGAGACGGUGGAGAGGUUGAGAGAGAUUUCAAAGAGAUUGAGGGAGAGUUGAGAUGUGAGAGAAAUGAAAGGAAAAUUGAGAUUUGAGGGAAUAUUAAGAGAUAUUUAAGGGUUUUGUUUUGAAAAAAAUAAGCGUAAAACUGAUUUGGAAAAAAGAAACAAUUGUCGCGUAAUUUUUUCGUUUUGGAGGGUAAAGUUUGGUGCCCGAUGCUUUUCCAACGGUUAAACUUUUACCCUCGCAAAUCCGUCGGAAAUAUAAAAUAUUUUUCUUAUACAUGUAUAAAGUCAUCAUCUCAUUUCCAAAUGAGUGAACUCGGCGUUACAAACAUGCUCUUGAGAUACUUAUAACAUCAAUCAUUUCUUU